GACGAACGCUGGCGGCGUGCUUAACACAUGCAAGUCGAACGCUGAAGCUCAGCUUUUGUUGGGUGGAUGAGUGGCGAACGGGUGAGUAACACGUGAGUAACCUGCCCCCUUCUUUGGGAUAACGCCCGGAAACGGGUGCUAAUACUGGAUAUUCACUGGUCUUCGCAUGGGGGUUGGUGGUAAGGGUUUUUCUGGUGGGGGAUGGGCUCGCGGCCUAUCAGCUUGUUGGUGGGGUGAUGGCCUACCAAGGCUUUGACGGGUAGCCGGCCUGAGAGGGUGACCGGUCACAUUGGGACUGAGAUACGGCCCAGACUCCUACGGGAGGCAGCAGUGGGGAAUAUUGCACAAUGGGCGCAAGCCUGAUGCAGCGACGCCGCGUGAGGGAUGAAGGCCUUCGGGUUGUGAACCUCUUUCGCUCAUGGUCAAGCCGCAACAAUGGUUGUGGUGAGGGUAGUGGGUAAAGAAGCGCCGGCUAACUACGUG
rnacentral:rRNA from 1 species